ACUCCUACGGGAGGCAGCAGUGGGGAAUAUUGCACAAUGGGCGCAAGCCUGAUGCAGCCAUGCCGCGUGUAUGAAGAAGGCCUUCGGGUUGUAAAGUACUUUCAGCGGGGAGGAAGGCGAUAAGGUUAAUAACCUUGUUGAUUGACGUUACCCGCAGAAGAAGCACCGGCUAACUCCGUGCCAGCAGCCGCGGUAAUACGGAGGGUGCAAGCGUUAAUCGGAAUUACUGGGCGUAAAGCGCACGCAGGCGGUCUGUCAAGUCGGAUGUGAAAUCCCCGGGCUCAACCUGGGAACUGCAUUCGAAACUGGCAGGCUAGAGUCUUGUAGAGGGGGGUAGAAUUCCAGGUGUAGCGGUGAAAUGCGUAGAGAUCUGGAGGAAUACCGGUGGCGAAGGCGGCCCCCUGGACAAAGACUGACGCUCAGGUGCGAAAGCGUGGGGAGCAAACAGGAUUAGAAACCCCGGUAGUCCC
rnacentral:rRNA from 1 species